CCUACGGGAGGCAGCAGUGGGGAAUAUUGGACAAUGGGGGGAACCCUGAUCCAGCCAUGCCGCGUGUGUGAAGAAGGCCCUCGGGUUGUAAAGCACUUUCAGUGAGGAAGAACGCCUGGUGGUUAAUACCCAUCAGGAAAGACAUCACUCACAGAAGAAGCACCGGCUAACUCCGUGCCAGCAGCCGCGGUAAUACGGAGGGUGCGAGCGUUAAUCGGAAUUACUGGGCGUAAAGCGCGCGUAGGUGGCUUGAUAAGCCGGUUGUGAAAGCCCCGGGCUCAACCUGGGAACGGCAUCCGGAACUGUCAAGCUAGAGUGCAGGAGAGGAAGGUAGAAUUCCCGGUGUAGCGGUGAAAUGCGUAGAGAUCGGGAGGAAUACCAGUGGCGAAGGCGGCCUUCUGGACUGACACUGACACUGAGGUGCGAAAGCGUGGGUAGCAAACAGGAUUAGAUACCCCUGUGUC
rnacentral:rRNA from 1 species